rnacentral:sRNA from 1 species
GUUUUGGGCGAUCUGGCUGCAACAUCUGUCACCCCAUUGAUCGCCAGGGUUGAUUUGGCUGAUCUGGCUGGCUAGGCGGGUGUCCCCUUCCUCCCUCACUGCUGCAUGUGUGUCCCUCCCAAAGCUGUGUGCUCAGAUGAAGAGAAUGACCUUUUCUGUAGCUGUGCUCCCCUGCUAGAACCUCCAAACAUAUCACAAUUCUGAACAUCUAUGUCCCAAAUACAAGAUCACCUACAUUUGUAAAUGAAACAUUUU